rnacentral:tRNA from 4 species
GCCACCUUAGCUCAGUUGGUAGAGCAACUGAUUUGUAAUCAGUAGGUCGUCAGUUCGACUCUGACAGGUGGCUCCA